rnacentral:rRNA from 1 species
UACGGGGGGGGCAAGCGUUGUUCGGAUUUACUGGGCGUAAAGGGCGCGUAGGCGGCGCGACAAGUCACUUGUGAAAUCUCCGGGCUUAACCCGGAGCGGCCAAGUGAUACUGUCGUGCUGGAGUGCGGAAGGGGCCACCGGAAUUCUCGGUGUAGCGGUGAAAUGCGUAGAUAUCGAGAGGAACACCUGCGGCGAAGGCGGGUGGCUGGGCCGACACUGACGCUGAGGCGCGAAAGCUAGGGGAGCAAACGGG